UACGUAGGGGGCAAGCGUUGUCCGGAAUUAUUGGGCGUAAAGCGCGCGCAGGCGGCUAUUUAAGUCUGGUGUUUAAACCUUGGGCUCAACCUGAGGUCGCACUGGAAACUGGGUGGCUUGAGUACAGAAGAGGAAAGUGGAAUUCCACGUGUAGCGGUGAAAUGCGUAGAUAUGUGGAGGAACACCAGUGGCGAAGGCGACUUUCUGGGCUGUAACUGACGCUGAGGCGCGAAAGCGUGGGGGAGCAAACAGG
rnacentral:rRNA from 1 species